rnacentral:rRNA from 1 species
GUUAGUACGCGUGGGACAUACCCUUUUCUACGGAAUAGCCUCGGGAAACUGAGAGUAAUACCGUAUACGCCCUUCGGGGGAAAGAUUUAUCGGUGAAGGAUUGGCCCGCGUAAGAUUAGAUAGUUGGUGGGGUAAUGGCCUACCAAGUCUACGAUCUUUAGCUGGUUUGAGAGGAUGAUCAGCAACACUGGGACUGAGACACGGCCCAGACUCCUACGGGAGGCAGCAGUGGGGAAUCUUAGACAAUGGGCGAAAGCCUGAUCUAGCGAUGCCGCGUGAGUGACGAAGGUCUUAGGAUCGUAAAGCUCUUUCGCCAGGGAUGAUAAUGACAGUACCUGGUAAAGAAACCCCGGCUAACUCCGUGCCAGCAGCCGCGGUAAUACGGAGGGGGUUAGCGUUGUUCGGAAUUACUGGGCGUAAAGCGCACGUAGGCGGAUUGGAAAGUAGGGGGUGAAAUCCCAGGGCUCAACCCUGGAACUGCCUCCUAAACUAUCAGUCUAGAGUUCGAGAGAGGUAAGUGGAAUUCCGAGUGUAGAGGUGAAAUUCGUAGAUAUUCGGAGGAACACCAGUGGCGAAGGCGGCUUACUGGCUCGAUACUGACGCUGAGGUGCGAAAGCGUGGGGAGCAAAC